rnacentral:rRNA from 1 species
CGAGCGGAUGACGGGAGCUUGCUCCUUGAUUCAGCGGCGGACGGGUGAGUAAUGCCUAGGAAUCUGCCUGGUAGUGGGGGACAACGUUUCGAAAGGAACGCUAAUACCGCAUACGUCCUACGGGAGAAAGCAGGGGACCUUCGGGCCUUGCGCUAUCAGAUGAGCCUAGGUCGGAUUAGCUAGUUGGUGGGGUAAUGGCUCACCAAGGCGACGAUCCGUAACUGGUCUGAGAGGAUGAUCAGUCACACUGGAACUGAGACACGGUCCAGACUCCUACGGGAGGCAGCAGUGGGGAAUAUUGGACAAUGGGCGAAAGCCUGAUCCAGCCAUGCCGCGUGUGUGAAGAAGGUCUUCGGAUUGUAAAGCACUUUAAGUUGGGAGGAAGGGCAGUAAGCUAAUACCUUGCUGUUUUGACGUUACCGACAGAAUAAGCACCGGCUAACUCUGUGCCAGCAGCCGCGGUAAUACAGAGGGUGCAAGCGUUAAUCGGAAUUACUGGGCGUAAAGCGCGCGUAGGUGGUUCGUUAAGUUGGAUGUGAAAGCCCCGGGCUCAACCUGGGAACUGCAUCCAAAACUGGCGAGCUAGAGUACGGUAGAGGGUGGUGGAAUUUUCCUGUGUAGCGGUGAAA